rnacentral:rRNA from 1 species
UACGUAGGUGACCAGUGUUGUCCGGAUUUACUGGGCGUAAAGAGCGCGCAGGCGGUCGUUCAAGUCGAGUGUGAAAGCCCCCGGCUCAACUGGGGAGGGUCACUUGAUACUGAUCGACUCGAAGGCAGGAGAGGGAAGCGGAAUUCCCGGUGUAGUGGUGAAAUGCGUAGAUAUCGGGAGGAACACCAGUGGCGAAGGCGGCUUCCUGGCCUGUUCUUGACGCUGAGGCGCGAAAGCUAGGGGAGCAAACGGG